AUACGAGGGGUGCAAGCGUUAUUCGGAAUUAUUGGGCGUAAAGGGUGCGUAGGCGGCGUAUUAAGUCAACUGUUAAAACCUCCAGCCUAACUGGAGAUCAGCAGUAGAUACUGGUAUGCUAGAGGAUGGAAGAGAGAAGUGGAAUUCUUGGAGUAGCGGUGGAAUGCGUAGAUCUCAAGAGGAACACCAAUGGCGAAGGCAGCUUCUUGGUCCAUAUCUGACGCUGAUGCACGAAAGCGUGGGGAGCAAACAGGAUUAGAUACCCUGGUAGUCCACGCCGUAAACGAUGAUCACUAGAUGUUAAUUCUGCUUGCAGAAUUAGUGUCGUAGCUAACGCGAUAAGUGAUCCGCCUGGGGACUACGGUCGCAAGAUUAAA
rnacentral:rRNA from 1 species